GACGAAGGGAAGUGGGACAACUUUUCUAUAGGGAAUCUUCCAACAAAAAUUAUUUCUAGAGGUUCCCCAAAUUAUUCAUUUGAUAAUAUUGGAUGAUGAUCUAUGCCACAUAAUGUAAUAUACCGAACUUCUAUAGUUAUGAAGUUUCGGUGGAUAUUAGCUUGAAAAGUUGUUUAAAAUAGUUCCGGUGAAAUUCAGAGUGUAUUGCGUAAGUGGUUGGGACCUUGGAGAGCAAGCUGGGAAUUUCUAGCUCGUUUUGAGCUGGAAAUGCUCUCGGGGUCCGGACCCUAGUGCCAGGGUCCGGAUCCCUUCUCUCUUCUUCCUAAGCCAAAACACACACACACACACACCCAUUGUAGAGAGAGAAAGAGAGAGAGAACCAAGCUCUCUCUCUCCCUCAAUCUUUUCUUCCUCUCUCUUGAUCUCUCCCAAACUUGGGGUUUUGGCGGAGAGCGAGCUUGGGAACGCGUUGGGAGUGACGGAUCGAGCCCUCGAGCGCUAGGUGGCUCGGCGUGCUUCCGACUCGAGAGUAGAGCCCCAGACAACUCUAAGUUGAAAAUCGGUGAGCAUUCAGUGGUCGAUUGCGAGUUCGAGCAGAACCAAGCAACGUGUGCCGCGGAAGCCCGAUUGUAAGUGUCUACAAGCAAUCGGAAAGUAUCGUGAGGCAAGGAAGAAGCUCGGUUGGAAGGUUUGUCGCCAACGUCGCGCCGCGGGACCGUUUGAGCACGCUUUUGACGCCGGGGUAGCGCGAGGAGGCUGGGCGAGCGUGGGUUUUCGCCAUUCUUGCUGUCGCAGCAGUGCUUGGCGUUGUCGAGUAUUUCAGCUCGUACUCGACGCAGGAGCAUCGGAUUUUGACAAGACUUGGUUCGCUGGAUUCAGGACAUCAAGAGGAAUCCAUGAAGCCCUUACUUGCGGGAUUUGGUGAAGUUGGAGAUAGCUCGAUUUCGGGACUCGAACAUUUUCAGUCGAUCCAGCAGGUUGUUCCGCAGCCGAGGGAGUUCCGUGCUGCCAGGGAUUAGUAGCCGAGGUCCACACGCGAGCGGCGCGGCGGCGCGAGGAAAGAGCGUAGCUCAGUAGAUAGUGCGCUCUACCACUGAGACCAGAGAUAGAAGUACCCUGGGUCGGCAUAGCUUAGGGUAUAAGGAAAGGAAAUGAGAGAAACAAAAUUGUACUAAGUGGAUUGUAUUUGGAAGCUAAAUGAAAAAUGUAAUAUGUAAAAUGUAUGUAAUGUGAAUGCUUGUAAUAGCAUAGUUGUUUUAUGUUUUUGGUA